GGGUUUUCAACCCUGGUCAUCUAUCUGGAUCAUUAUUCAAAAUGCAAAACCAGAAACUUUGGAGUGAGAUUUUGUUAUCUGCAUUUUUGAAAAGCUUCCCUGGUGAGGGCAUAAAACUACAGCAUACCUGAGGUUAGCCUGAAAAAGAAGUGCUGAACUUUCUUUGGAGGAAUUCAAUUAAAGGGACCUUGAUUCACAUUCAAAUAACUACCCACAACUGGCAAUAACUAUCCUCCAGAGAAACCCAACCUGAAGAAGUUCAUGCAUGAAGUCUGACCUUGCUUAAUUGGUUUGGUGGGACAGGACCAAAACUCUUCUAGAGACAGGGGAUGAAAAAAACAGCUCUCCUGCCCGGCGCAGUGGCUUACACCUGUAAUCCCAGCACUUUGGGAGUCUGAG
rnacentral:lncRNA from 10 species